UCUAUCUUGGCCUGGAUCAUAGGGUGAGGUUGUGACCAUGACUGGGCUGUUUGGCCUGGAGGAUAAAAGCUGGAAUUUGAUGCUGUGGUGACUUUGUGAGGGUGCUGAGCUAAUUCAGCACCCAAGCCCUGCAGCAUCCUCUCCUCUGCCUCCUCAGGAGCAGUUUGCUCUUGGACUCUAGUCUGCAGCAUCAAACCAGCACUUGAUGGUGUCAAAGCUCAUGACAGCCUGAGGAAAAAAAUAUAGGAGACCUUGCUGUACAGCUUCUAGGACUAUUUGGUAUAGCAAUUAAG
rnacentral:lncRNA from 1 species